UGAAAUGACAACUGACAGGGAGGAAGAGCAGGUAUUUAAGGAAUUUAGCCUGUGCAGCAAUUGGCUGCUCGUAUUUAAUGAGAGGGGAAGGGAGCAAUAGAGUGACGUGUAAGUGACUCAUGUUAGGUCUUCCUUAUUGAACUUGCGCUAAAGCUUUCAUUUGUAGAACAUCUUUUUAAAGAAACAGUUUAAUGGAAUGGACGUAUUGGCUCUUCAGCAGAAACUUUGAUAAGGAGAAGGAUUUUUAUGAAAGUUGCAUUUCAAACCAUACUGCGCUACUUGAAUAAAAACUCAAACAAUAAAUGUAUUUCAAUGUGAAACAACAUCUAACAGAACCAUGUUAGUUCACUUUAAACAGGUGAGUUUAUGUUUAAAUAAAUUUGUCUGUCUUUUUUCCUAUGUUUAAACUGAAAAUAAACUUAAUUUAAAAUCAUGACUGAUCUGUUUGAAGAGAAAAUAGGGAAUGCAAUACAACACACUGCAUGGUCGUACACAGAAAAACGACAUUUGCAUGUUUGCAUUCAGACAAAGCAGAAGAGCUUAACCACUGGGCUCAUUCUCUGCUUGCAAAGCACUGUUUAACUAUUUCAAAGAGAAACAGAUUCAACACACCUUUAGUAAAUACAGAAAAUUAUUUGAACACCCUAAAGCGUAUAUUCAUUAAAUAAUAUUGAUAAAAGUCAAACAAACCCUUUUUAUUAUCAUACUGCUACUGUUCAGCACCGCAGACGGAUGUGGCCGAUGCUAAGUGGCUCAAUGCUUCUCUGAUCAAACAUAAAGUUCAUAUUUUAUUCUAAACUAAACUCAGUAGGCAUUAUCCAUUACUCUUAUCUUACUCUAUCUUGGUUUGCAAGGACUCUCUUUGCCUAACCCAUUACUCCCGCCCUUUAACUUUUUUCACACAUAUGUCAGACUUAAAGAUAACUGUCAUGAUGAUGUCAAUACAAAGAUAAUUGAGUUGCAUUAUGGGAAUGAGGUUGUCUUUAUGAUGACUGAAAUAUAUGAAACUCAAGACUCUGUGUAUGUACACGUUGAAACUAAAAGGUGUGACUUGAGCCGAACAAUAUGUCCUUACUCUAAAAAACGCAAUUUAAACGUGUCCUAAAAAGAAGACACAUUUAAGUGGAUUAGGUUAAAUUAAUUGAGUUAAUUAGAAGUUAAACAAGAUUACACCUUAACAUCCAGAGGGGUUUGUUGAAAGGCCGCGUAUAAACCCUAAAUUGUCCAAGGUGGAGUAACAUUGGCUCAUUUCACACCUUCCUUUCAUGGGAAAUUGCCCAAUUGUAUUGAACGUGUCCUCAUUGGAAUAAUUAAACAGUGUUUAAAUGAACUCUUUAAGCCACAGCUGAAGGUUUAUAAAGACUGCAUUUUCUUCUCCCUCCAUCACUCGCUACCUUCUUCCGCAAAGACAACAUCAUCAGAUAAUCCUCACAACAAAGGUAAGACUUUCCUCUCAGCAUUGCAUCAAAUGAUUAUUCUUAAUUAUACUAGGAAUUUUCUUCCAAAAGAUAACUUUUUUUUAAGGGUGCUUAAAAUAUUGUAUUGAAAAGUUAAAAAGUUAAAUUGAAAGCAUUUCCAAUUUUAAUGAAUUAAAAACGUGUUUGAAUCAUCCCAGUGUAUGGAAGUAAAUCUGUUCUAUCUGAAUAAUUAUGCAUUGAAAUUAUGUAUCUGGAUCUUUUGCCUCUGAAUUUCGUUGUUCGAAAACACAUUGUUUUCACCUUUUUUUUAAUGUUCACAAAUUCAGCUGCAAAGAUUUAGCUACAAAAAAUGUAGAUCAUCAUCCUGGAACCCAAGGAAAAGCAAUCGAUUGUAGAUCAAGUCAAACGCCCAGCCAAAUCAAGCUACGCUUAUUCACUGCGUUGGUCACGGAAAUGGAUUUGUGUCUGAAUUUUUGCUGCUGAAUUUGUGAACAUUGAAAAAAAAUAGUGAAAACGAGUUGUAGAAAAUUCGAACAAUGAAUUUCAGAGGCAAACAAUUCAGAUACAUAAUUUCAAUGCACAAUUAUUAAGUGAAAGACAAUGGCUUUCUAAUUUCUAAAUCAGAUGGAACAUAUUGACUUCCAUACCAGUGUUAAGGCUCUUUAGAGUAUCUGAAUGCAAACAUGUGUUUUCUGCGACCACGCAGUGUGUUGUAUUUACUUUCCUAUUUUAUAUUUACACAGAUGCCAUCAGUUAUUCAUCUUGCUGGGCUCUUGCUUAUCAGUGGACUGGUGUUGAUGACAUCUGCAGGUCUCCGUGGCAGACGUUGAAGAGCAGGAAUUCUUGAAAUCUGUGAUUUUAUCAAACAUCGCAAGCAUCACAUAUGGUGCCUGGAUCGGAGGCUAUGAUGCUAUCAUGGUUUCCCACACUCCUAAUACCACAGCUGUUACCUCCUGUUACUCACGCUGAGUUCCUGCUCAGUUUGACUUGUUGUGCUCUGGGAACAAGUGCAGUUUGGUUGUCUACCUAAAAAGCUUGAGCUCAGCCUGUUGAAAACCUUUUGCAUGAGGACAAUUGGAAGUGGAGCGACGGCUCUGCCUUCACCUUCGGGUGCUGGGGAAACUGCAUGGAGAUGCAUACUGAUGGGAAAUACAAUGACCUUGGCUGUGAUAAUUCAAUAGCUUACAUCUGUGCUCAAGACAUGUAAUGAUGUCCGCCAUAUCACAUCCUUCCUGAUGAGGACAUCACUUCCACCGAGAUGUCAGGCCGCGAUGACAUUAACGCUGAAAAGUUUAGAAUUUAAGGGAAUUUGGAUCCACUUUGAAUUAACUCUGUAAAAGCAUUUAUUUAAGACAAUUACCAGUCUUGAGAUUGUUAUUGUUUAUUGAAUAAACUUUACAGGUGGAAUUGAAAGUGAAAUAUAAAACACUUGCAUUCAAUAAAACAAAAAUAUAACUGAUCUUUUGUAUUGUCAUUUCUCAUAUCCUGUAUAUAAGUCCAUGUUAAUAGUGUGUACACAUAGCCAGCUAGAAGGUUAAUAAAAGAGGACUAAAAGUUCAUAGCCAGCUUAAAACACUGUUUGCCAUCAAAGUUUGGGGGAGAGAAACUCCCACUGGAGGGAAUUUGGGGAUUUUAGCCUUUGCAGACCAUUUACAUGCCUAAAGAAAAAGAAAGCAGAAUUGGUCCCCUCAAAGAAACUGCUUCCAAUGUAUUGCUGCACAAAAUUGUUUUUUCCAAUGGUACUAAUUAAAGUAAGUAUACUUAUACUUAACUAGAAACAGAAUCAACUAAAGUUACAUUUUCCUGUUUUUCUCGAGUCACUAGGUUGACGUCAGUCAAGCUUACAUUUCAUAAUUGAACCAAAUCUUCUACAGUGACGGAUGAAGAAAUUGUCUUGGUAUAUUUUGCUGUAUGAGAUGCUGCUCAGGCGAUGUUGAAGCAAUAAUGUUGCAAACCAACAAGUUAAUAGGUGAAUUAAGAAACUUAAACUCACUUACCAACUUCCCAGUUGACGCACUUUUGUGGGCAAAAUUUGUAUUAUUACAACAAACACAGGAAAAUUAUCCUGGCAGAAAAAGUCUAUGGUAUUUAAUUGAAUGAAUAUCACCACUGAUUGAAUGUGCCUGCAGUCAAAGAGAAUAAGAUAUUACAUGGCAACGGUUCAUUAUCCAUAAAAGUAUUUGUGAAUUAUGAGAGUAUCUGUCAUUUAUGUGUCAAACAAGCAAGAGUUGUUAACAAUGAUGGCGCUAUAUAACUGUUUAAUUAUGUCAACAGCAUAAUUAGAUGCACAAGAAGACAGUAUGAUAUUUGCAUCUAGAGCUGAACUUAAAUUGAACCAAAGCAAACAUGUGGCUCUGUGUUCAUCUGACAGAUAGUAAAGGUGUUAGGAAGUGGGACUUGAAUCCUGUAUUGAUCAACGGAUGAGUCAAUAAGCUGUGAGGUCUUUCUGGUAACAAUUUAAGUUUAGCUGAAGGCGCUCAUAAUUUACGGUUUGCUUGUGCACCUAAUUAUGCUGUUGAGAUAAUGAACUCUUUAUAUAGCACCGUCACUGUUAACUCUUCUCAGAUUGCUUUAUUCUUCAAAUAAAUACAAAAGCAAAGACAUUUCAUGUAGCUUAAAUUCAGUUUAAUUUGUGCAGGAAACGUGUUUAAUUGCACUUAAUUUAAUUUUGUUUAAUUGCACAAGUGGACUAGCAGAACUCUAUACCACUAUAAUUCAUCACGUGUUUCAUCCUCUCUUUGUUUUCAGUGCUUUACUUGUGCUUGGUCCAUCCACACAUCCAAAAAGGCCAUGUUCAAACCACACAAGUAAAAGCCUUUCAGCGAGUGGCUCAGUUUCAGUUGCUAACCCCUGGUCUUCCUCCUCUGUGGCUCUAUGUGUUUUCUCCUGUUUGGUCUGAUUGAUCGAGUAAAUCCCCAGCCUCCUUCACUGUAACAAGGAAUAACGUUUCUCUUAAAUCAAGCUAUACAGGGGACACUAUUUCAAUUGUUUUAGCUGUUGUCUUUAUUUCUGUGUAUUACUUAUACACUUUCAUGCAUGAACGUUCAUCACAAACAUUUCUGAAGGGUUUCCUGUGAGAGAUUCACUGUCUGGACCACCAGUCUCUAGCCCACAAAAAGCAACGUAUUGAUUUAAUUAUUCAUGAUUCAUGUUUGAUUUCCCGUUUGUCAUCAUUCAAUCAUUCACCGAAUCAUAGACUGUUGAGAAAAAACCGUUUUUACAGGGACGAAAAUGUAUUAAUGUCACCUCUGUUGGUAAAGCAGCGUUCAGUUAUUAUGCUCCAAAUAUCUGGAACAAACUCCCAGAAACCUGCAGGUCCGCUGCAACUCUGACUACUUUUAAAUCCAGGCUGAAGACUUUUCUUUUUGUCGCUGCUUUUAAUUGAACUAUUCAUAUCUUAGACUGCACUGUAACUUUUAUCCAUGUAUUUUUUCUUUUAAUGUUUUAAAUUUAAACGUAAUUAAUUUCUCCAUGACAUUUAUGAGAGGGACUGCUCGAAAGUAGGAUAUUUGGGAUAUCCAUCGUAGCCAGGGUUUACGAUCAGUUUUUAGGUGAGUUGUACUGAGGAACAAGUAUCACAGCACCGACGGGUGAAAAAUAGUGUUUAGGUAACACGGGGUGUUCAGGUAACACUUAAAGACUUUGUUAUGGAACGCAAAGCAGAGUAGGGGGCUAGUACACCCUCCUGAGGGUCCGAUUGUGGAUGUCAUGCGAGCAAAACAUGGUGAAAACAAUCAGUCUAAAUUAACAAUCGGGACGGAAAUGGUCGGAUUUCCAAAGGGAGGUUCUGUGAAUAAAUAAAAAAUCAAGAACCGAAAUAAUUGAACUAUUCAUAUCUUAGACUGCACUGUAACUUCUAUCUUUUAAUGUUUAUUUUAUUAGCUUUUCUUUUUAAUGACUGAUUUUAAAUGCCAUUUUCUUAAUGUCUUUCAUUUUUUGUUUUUCUUUGAAUGUUUCUUUUAUUAUCUUUUACUGUUUUUAAAUGCCUUUGUCUGAAUGUCUUUCAUUUUUGUAAAGCACCUUGAAUUGCCUGGUGCUGAAAGGUGAUAUAUAAAUAAACUUGCCUUGCCUCUGUUAACCUUGGAAACGUUGACAUGUGAGGAAUUCUCUUUAUUAAAAUAUCU